CUUGUAUCGUAUGCAAAUGCAGGCGUUGACGUUGAGGUCACGUGGCCGGGCGCGGGGCUGUCUCCCCGAUGUUGCUACAUUCCGCGCUGCGAUUCAUUGUAACUAGGAGAAGCGCUACAAUGUAUCCAGGUAAAAUUUUCCUGUGAUGCAGCCAACAAAGGUCCUCAUUAGAGCUGUUGGCAAUCAGUAAAGGCAGAGCUACCACCACUUGAAGUAGUGCUGGACGUGCUUCCUUCAAGAGACCAUUGGUCUUCGGGAAGACCCUCGACCAACCGCCCUCUAUUUUCCAGCCACUGAUGGCUAGCAAACGGAAGUCAACAACGCCGUGCAUGGUUCGUGCUGCAGACGUGACGGAGCAGGACCCAGACUUGGAGAUAGUUGGGCAGGCUGGUGGGUCUCCGCACCAGUUGUCUGACGAGAGCUGCCCGGCAGAUAAUGGAAUGAGUGAUGGGGAUCAGGGUUUGGAGAAAGCUGCCUUAGACACUCGACAAACCAGGAAGCUGGAAGGAGGCUAUGAAUGUAAAUACUGCACCUUUGAAUCACAGGACUUGAAUGAAUUUACAGAACAUGUUGAUACUAUACAUCCAAAUGUUAUCCUCAAUCCGUUUUACGUCUGUGCAGUUUGUAACUUUACAACAAAAAGGUAUGAUACUUUUACUGAUCACAAUAGUAGGCAUCAUCCAGGAGAGAGCAACUUCAAGUUGAAGUUGAUAAAGCGCAGUAACCAGACCAUUCUUGAACAAACUGUCGAAGAUCCCACUAACGGCGGGAAUGCAGAUAAAGAGGAGAUCCCUCCUGCUGGAAUCUCCAUCAGCAAGACUCCCAUCAUGAAGAUCAAAAACAAAGCUGACGGCAAAAGGAUAAAUGUGUUGCCACGAGUGAAAGAUGAAUUUGGCACCACGCAGGAGAGCAAGGCAGAAGAGAGUGCCAAUGGUCCUCUCCAUGGUGGUUUGGUUGUUCCAGAGACCGUGAUCAAGGAUGGAGUGGCUCAUGUGAUGCCUUCUAUACAGCCACCACCAAACAUCAAUCUAAUACCCAAAGUCAUGAUUCCCAUGCAUGGCUCCAAGUAUAAUGCUGCCAUGGACAUCAACAAAAACCUGAUAGGCUCCUUUAACAAAUUCCCCUACCCUACCCAAGCAGAGCUGUCUUGGCUGACAGCGGUGUCAAAGCAUCCAGAAGAACAAAUUAAAAUGUGGUUCUCAACGCAACGCCUUAAACAUGGCAUCAGCUGGGCUCCCGAGGAAGUAGAAGAGGCCAGGAAGAUGAUGUUUAAUGGUACUAUCCAGACGCCAACAAUCACCGUUGUGCCAGCACAAGUACCAGCCACUACCAAAGGCAACACGCAGCAGGUUAUCCAGACCGGAGUGCCGUGCCAGUUAGUUGGUCAGACAGGUAUUGUAUUAACUCAAGUCGCAAACGGGGCGACGGUGUCGUGCUCCCCUAUCGCCUUGACCAUGGCCGGCAGCUCAAGUCAAGCCCAAUCUCAGAAGCGGGGCUUGCUGUCCUCCCAAGCAGGAGCAGAUUCGAAGCGGGCGAACGUCGUCCAGGUCUGCCAGCUCUCAUCACAAGGUGGCUCGGUCUUGUUCUCCCCGGGCAGCACGGACGUCAGCACAAGCCGCAAGAAGACCAAGGAGCAGAUGGCAAAACUCAAAGCCAGCUUUGCCAUCAGUCAGUUCCCCAACGAUGAUGAGGUUUUCCGGCUGAUGCAUGUCACCAAGCUCUCCAGGUCAGAGAUUAAGAAGUGGUUCAGCGACAACCGUUACCGAACACAGAAGGGGCACUCGAGUCACGCCUCCGCUGAAACCACAAUCACCAUUCCUCAUGAACCUACUGGUGGCCAUGGAGCUCGGAAGUCCGGAUGGAACACGUUCUCUGACUUUGGGCCCCAGAAGUUCAAAGAGAAGAGUGCAGAGCAGCUGAAAGUGCUGGAGGAGAGCUUCCAGUACAGCUCCUUCCCGACGGACGAGGAAAAGGAUAGACUGCGGGUGGAGUCCAAGCUGACCAGGAGGGAAAUAGAUGCCUGGUUUUCUGAGCGGAGAAAGCUGCGUGACUCUUUAGAAGGAGGGAUUCUAGACAUGAGGAGAGCGGAGCUGAAGCAAGAAAAUAUAAAAUCGGAAAUAGCUGAAAACGUCCACAUAAAAACCUCGCACUCUGCUCCACAUUACCUGUCCAAGUCUGGGACUCCCCCUCCAAGCGGAGCACUGCAGCAUAUUAAAACCACCAGUCCAAUUGACAAGACUCAUAAAAAGAGCCAGGAACAGUUACAUAUCCUGAAGAGUGCAUUUGCACGCACACAGUGGCCAACUGUGGAGCAGUAUGACUCUUUAGUAGUGCAGAGCGGUCUGCCACGAAACGACAUAGUGCGUUGGUUUGGUGACAACAGAUACGCAAUUAAAAAUGGCAAUUUGAAAUGGCUUGACCAGUACCAAAGAGCAAAUUCAGAUGGUCAUAACGGGCAGAGUAACCUCAAUGGCAGCGGGACACGAGGUAGCAGAGGACACAAAACAGCCGGUGUUUGGAGCGGAGCAGCGCAUUCGACACAGAGCCGGGCUGGUAAGUCAGUCCUGUUGCAGUAUUACCUGCAGCACAGGCAGCUGAAGGAAGAAGACCUGGAUGAGUUGGUGUCAAAGUCCAACAUGAGCUACGAGCAGGUGAGGGACUGGUUUGCGGAAAAGCAAACAGAAGACGCCAUGGACACAUCUGAGAGCAACAGCAGAGAUGGGCAAUGCAGCGAGGAGGAUGAGAAUGAAGACUGGAGUGCGGUGGAUGAUGUAAAUGAGAGAGAUGACUAUGUCCUGUCUGAGUUCACUGGCAACUGGGCUCAUGCAUCACAGUGCAGCUCAACUGGGUUUAAUGAACUGGAUUCAGAAAGCAUGUCUGCAGAAAAUUCGAACAUAUAGCUAAGAUUCCAAGGCAUUAUUUCAAGGAUGACCAGGGAAGUUUUCCCUGGUGUCCCAACCUAUACUGAUCCCUCAAUCAAUGUCAGGAAAAAAAAAACAAGGAUGAUCUAGCCAUUAUUAUUUUGUAGGAUCCUUCCAUGCACAGGAAACCAAAUGAGAAAAUAACUGACGCACAUUGCAACAUGUGUCUAAAGAAAACUACAAUUUCUAUUCUCUACGACACAAAGAAAGUAACUGAGGCUUUGUCUCACGCUCUGUAUUGUGUAAAACAACAAACAGAGAUGGAAUGAAGGACUGACUUACUGUACAAGUAUCUUUCCAAAAGUGAGAGAUUCAAUUCUAUCCACAGUGCCAAAGUUUUACUACUGCAAUUGAAAGGGUCUUUGUAAAUAUUUUUUUCUGUUUUUGAACAGAUUUGUACAAUUUAGGAAUUUUAUUACAUUUAUAACUGGUGAGAGUUAACUUUGCCCUUAGCGUCCCUCUUGUUUUUUUUUAGAUUUAGUAACCACUAUCAGGCUCUUGUUUUGGCAUCUUUUACAAUCACUACUUCACGACUAGAGGGAAAUAAAAAAAAAGUUUGGACCUCCAGAUCAAGGAGGACUGAGAUACUGAAUCAUGUUUUGUGUCCAGUAACAUCUUUAGAUCUCUGAUGUACAAAAUGGCAGGAAGAAAACAUUUAACAAGCACAUUAUUGUUAGAAGCUUUUUAUUGUAAGAGGCUACAUUUAUAAUGGAAUGCAAACUCCUCUAGCCAGCCUUCACUCAGCUAGAGAUGUGCAAUAUUGACUUAUUUAUGUCAGUAUAAUAUCAUCAUUAAAGUUGCAGUAACUUGUUUCCUAUCUUUUGCAAGAUUGCAUAUUCAGAAAAUAAACUGUGUUGUCCCCAGUUUGCAUUUUGUUAUCAUUUUAGUCGCUACCAAAGUUUGGAGAUUUAUUGGCAGUGUGGGUACUGAGUUGGAUUUUGGAGUUGGGCUGAUGCGUCUGUGCUGUUAGCAGCUGACGAAUGGCAUAAAUGUCUGAUUCUGUGAACUCGUACAAGACCUCAACUUGCAUCUCAAUCAUGAAUUCAUAUUCCAUCCUGAUAACUGUCUGGGAACACUGCAAGAUAAGGAGCUGCACAUUCAAAACAGAUGCAUAGAAAUUUCUUUUCACAGAGGGUGGUGAAUCUCUGGAAUUCUUUGCCCCAGAGGCUUGUGGAGGCCAGAUCAUGGAGAUAUUUAAGGUGGAGG